GGACGUGUGGUGUACUUGGUUAACACAUUCGCCCAAUAUGAGGACCCAAUCCAUAGCGCCCGCAUGAUGUGCGAAAGUAUCCGGUUCGAUUCCGGGCAUGUCCU